rnacentral:SRP_RNA from 1 species
UGCGGGAGUCGGGCGGACGCGGUACUCGCCAACUUGGUCAGGUCCUGACGGAAGCAGCCACAACGAAUUCGCCGCGGGUCGUUCCGGCUCCUACUCCC